rnacentral:misc_RNA from 1 species
AAGUCGUAACAAGGUAACCGUAGGUGAACCUGCGGUUGGAUCAUUAAUGAAUGAUUAAAGAGUUUAUUCUCUUUAAGCUUUAUAAGUUGGGUAUUAAGUCUUUAUAGACUUUUUACUCAAUGAACCUUGUGUGAACAUGUUAACUGUCUUUGGUGAGAGUUUUUAUGAUAUUCAUUUAUCAUGGCUCACCAAAAUAUAUGAUUAAACAUUUGUUUUUAUAUAAAAAGUCUUGAAUUCAAUAUAUUUAAAUUGAAAACAACUUUUGACAACGGAUCUCUUGGCUCUC